rnacentral:rRNA from 1 species
UACGGAGGGUGCAAGCGUUGUCCGGAUUUAUUGGGUUUAAAGGGUGCGUAGGCGACCCGGUAAGUCAGUGGUGAAAGCCUCCAGCUCAACUGGAGAACUGCCAUUGAUACUGCCGGGCUUGAGUACAGACGAGGUUGGCGGAAUUGAUUGUGUAGCGGUGAAAUGCAUAGAUACAAUCAAGAACUCCGAUUGCGUAGGCAGCUAACUAGGCUGUAACUGACGCUGAGGCACGAAAGCGUGGGGAGCGAACAGG